UUGUUUUAAAAUAUUUCUAUUUGAAUAUAUUUUGUGUUGGCGAGUGAAAAAUACAAUUUAAACUUAGCGCUAGAAGCCAUGUUCUUUUGAUAUCGAUUCAAUAUCGAUCUAUCUCGACUCUAUUACAGGCGACUCUCGCCGCUCUUGCGUUAGUUUCUGGUUCUCUGUUACUAACACUGUCAUGUCUAACUUACAAUAAAAGCUUUUGUAUGUUCGUCGCAAGAGAUUUCAAUUUCUGAAAUCUCCCAGAUUUCUGUCUAUCCCAGACCCAAGAUUUUGCAAGAAUCUUUUGUGUAUUUUCUCGUUUCUGACGUGACAAUCUGAGAUUGUUGGGGGCGCAUCGUGUUGUAACGUGAAGAUCGAUCGAGGAUCGAGAUCGAUCGUCUCCGUAGUACGUGGUAUUAUUGGCUCGCGGUCGCAACGACGUGAACGUCCAUCUGUGAUGUUAUCGAUCGCCCGUCAGAAUCGUUUCUACCGACAUCACGUUCAACCAUCGUUAAAAUCGUAAGUACAUACAUACAUUGUCAACUACGGCACACACGAAAGAGCGUACGACUGUUUUCUCCUCGUUCAAGAACAAGAGCGAUCACAUCCGAUCUGUUUCCCGCGGGAUUCUCUUCCGGAAAAGAAACGCUCGCACGUGAUUAGCGCGGCUACAGUUCAAACAUGACUUAAUAUCCAAUAUGUGUGUUUAAAUCUAUCAAGUGAAACAUACAUCCAAACAUGCACACAAAUAAAAUUUCAAUAUUUUUUCAUAUUCAGCGUUUUUCUUUCUUUGUAAUUUUGUUCAUUUAGAUGCAAACCGUAACAUCCACAAUUAAAAUCGAAUAAAAUUGCUCUAUAAAUGUAUGUAAGGUAUUUCAGGUUUUCCGCCCAUUUUUCUCCGUGUUUAUAAAUUAUAAAUUUUUUCAAUUUAUUGUGCAUUGCUUAAAACAUUUUUCUUUUAAUAUACAUAAAUGUAUAAAUAAUUUUUAAUUGUUGAAGGGAUUGACAACGGGAAAUUUAUCGUUACGAUUUAUAUUGAUAUCGAUAUGGUAGAAAUUAAAGUCUUAUUAAUCACGCGGAGACUCGAUAUGCACUUUGCAAUUAGCAUAUAAUCGAAUGAAUGUCGAUGCUGUGUCGUCGCGCUAAUCCGAUACGAGCGUCGAUGAUUAGUUCCUCCUCAGACAUGCGACACGUGCGCUUUGCAUUUUCCCCCCUUGUUCUGAUUCUCUUGUUCUUCGUUCGUCGUGCUGGAAGGAAGAAGGUUUACAUCGAUCGUGUAAUGAAAAAGGAGGCGGACGCAUUCGGCGCAAUUUAGGAACUUGGCUCGAAACGCGAUGCGGAUGACCCGCUUAAAGGCGAUGCUGGAGUCUGUAUUAUAGACAAAAAUACCAUUUUUUUAAAAACAAGUUAUACUUCGUAUUGGUUUUACAGAAAUAAAAUUUUUUUACAAAACUAAAAUACACAUGCUAAUGUAUACGGCUUUGGUCCAUUUUUUUGCCAUCGACUUUUACUUUAAUAUGGCGACCAACACCGUUAAUUCAGAUACGUUUAUUUCGUGGAAACGUUAUGCAGGUUAUUUAUGCGAAAUAAAGACAGAGCCAGGUGUAGAUUAAAUGAAUGAAUAAUGUCGAAUCGUUGGAAUUAAGUCGGGAAGCCUAAUUUAAGAAAAUAGAACGUUUGAUAAAUUGUGCAUGUAUACGUGAGAUCUCGGUGUAGUGGUACGUGGGAUCUGUUGAUGUUUCGUAAAUCGCGUGUGAGUCGAGUUUAUCGGUAAAACUGGCGACUCUAGCAUCGCCUUAAACCUUAAACGUUAUCGCAAUCGCGUGGAACAACGUGUUCGCACUACGCGAUUUUGCAGUGACAUCCACAUGCAAUUUUCCAUCGUGUCGCAUCAUUUUUUCAUAGUAUCGUAGCGUUGUAGCUAUUAUAUGUACGACAUUAUGGCGCAACAAUCAUAUAUAAUAGUUCGCAUUUUGGUUAGCACAAUUCAAUACACUUUGUAGCGUAGAGAAACGAUUUUAUCGUAACAUGAUAAAAUUGAGUAGCGUAAAUUACGCUCCCGUUCCCUUCGGAGGAUCCAAUUAGUUUGAAAAAAUUUCUCUUAUCGAACCACAAAGCACGUGGUUACAAAUAUAUAUAUAAACGUUUCUACAGAUUAUUUUAUUACCUCUCUAAAUAAUGCGCUUGUGCCGUUUGAUCGCGAAUCCUCUUAUCGUGCUGUCGCGAGAAAGACUUAACUCCGAAAGAAUAAGUCUUCUUGCUCUGAUGUUGAUAUCAGGAGUUCGGAAAGGAUCAGGUGGGACGUAACAGGUGGGCUC